rnacentral:rRNA from 1 species
ACUGACGUGAAAUCCCCGGGCUCAACCUGGGAAUGGCGUUGGUGACUGCAAGGCUAGAGUUUGGCAGAGGGGGGUAGAAUUCCACGUGUAGCAGUGAAAUGCGUAGAUAUGUGGAGGAACACCGAUGGCGAAGGCAGCCCCCUGGGUCAAAACUGACGCUCAUGCACGAAAGCGUGGGGAGCAAACAGGAUUAGAUACCCUGGUAGUCCACGCCCUAAACGAUGUCUACUAGUUGUCGGGUUUUAAUUAACUUGGUAACGCAGCUAACGCGUGAAGUAGACCGCCUGG